CACCCCUCAACCUUCUACCAUCUUUCGCUCUCAUGUCCCCACCCACCCCACACACGUCAGAAGCGAGCAGCGGAAGCCCAUCUGGUUGUGCCUUUUUACUCCCACGGUAUAUAUCUCAUCGCCGUCGAUCGCCAAGCACCUCGUCGUCGACCUCCCCCUCCCCCUUCCCCUUCCUCCUCCCCGCCUCCUCUGCAUGUGAGCAACUCAGAACACACACACACAGAGAGAGAGAGAGAGAGCAUAUGGACUGACUGAUCACUCGUGUCUUCUUCAUGACCUUUUAUGUUACUUCGACUGGCAACAGAUGGCAACUAAGGAAACUGGUGAAUCUGGUCACAGAUGCUAAAGCCAUUAAAUUUGCAGCUUCUUGUCCUCUUUUACUUUGACCGCCUCCAUUGCUCAUCUAAAAACAGGGUGAGAUUCUACAUGGAUAUUGAUCAUGAAGUGGGUGAUUGUUUCUGAAGCUGCAAGCAAAUUUAGCUCACAGAAAGCCAAGUUGGUGAGAGGUGGUGUCUCAUGAACUGUUGACAUCUCUGAGAGUAGUGUGUGUUCUGAAGCAUCAACUCUACUAGAGUGCUUCAAUGGAUGGCAGAAGAAAGAGACAUAGCAUUGCAGCUACUUCAAGAACUAAGCAUGGAGGAGUUGGAUCACAAGAACCAGACCAUAAAGCCUUCUCCUCCAAGUACUUCAGUGCAGAGUCUCUUCUGGUUCUGCUUUGCCUCACUGCCUCGUUGCUGAUACUUCCAGUGAUACUACCCACAUUGCCUCCACCACCUCUUGCAGUGCUGCUGCUUCCAAUAGGCAUCCUUGUUUUGCUCAUGAUCUUGGCAUUCAUGCCCUCAGAUGUAAGAAAGAUUGCAUCACCUUGUGAAUAAAUUGAGUUGGCCUUGUUCA